rnacentral:lncRNA from 1 species
UUUUUUCAAUCUAAGAUUCAAGAAGGGACUCCACGAAAGAAUAUCAAGACUUACUAAUUAUUAUACAUUUUUUUAUCGUACAUCUUAUGUUACCUACAUACACUAAAGUAAGGACUACUUAAUUCUAACGAGAAUCAGAUUAAAUAGGUCGAUCAAAAAUCAAUUUAGGAGUUGUGUUAUGGAUAAAAUCUCUUCCUCUUCAUUCUUUCAUAGAAUGAUACAAAGCAAGGCUGCAGGGUUUAGGUCAAAAAUAAACAUUAGGUAAGGUAGGUAUCCAAUAAAUAUUUAUCUAUCAUUAAUUUUAUGGUAUAUUCGGGCGUCCUUUGCUUAAAAAAAAGAGUAACAAAAGGAAUAAAAAAUCUUCCUAUUCCCGCUUCUUCUAUUCAGGACAUCAUUCCCGUACUCUUUCUUUUUUAAGGAAAAAAGAGCUAUAGUAUCGUAUUUUUAAUGCUCUCUAAUUCUACCAGAAUUCCUAUAAGAAUUUGUUAGGAGUAAAUUCCUUGAACUGAUUGAUCCAUGGCCUUAGGGCGGAAUCCCUUUUUGACUCUGUACCCUUGAUUCCACUAUGAUUAUUGAUCAAUAGUAGAAUAGAAUAAUCCCUUCAUAGAAAUAGUUCUCGCUUGGGCUGCUUUAAUGGUAGUCUUUACAUUUUCUCUUUCACUAGUAGUAUGGGGAAGGAAUGGACUCUAGGGAUACUACUAAUUGAUUAAGUAAUCAAAUUGUUGUAUCAAUUCUUUUCAUUAAUGGAUCAUUUUGCAUUAAUCAUUUUGUCAAACGUUAUUCUUUAAUCUUUUUCUUUAGUUUUGUUUCACUCCUGUAAGAAACUCUUGUAUUGUAAGUUGUAAUGUAAGAAAGAGCCAUUAUACCAAUUCAUAAUUUCUACUAGAAAUGACGAAUGGUUAAAAAAAGUUCUAUACAUAAGAAAAUUAGACUUUCUUCCACGGAAUUAUUCACGGCAUAUCACACAUUUUCCAUUUCCUUUUACUUUUUACUAUAGUCUAUUCUUAAUAUUAUUUUUCUUUCCUUCCAUGGAUUCUUUGGUCAAGAAUUGUCUUAGAUUUUUUUAUUUUGACCUGAUUGAAAUUAAGUCGAUGCAAUGAAAAAAGAAAUUGAAUUAGACUACUUAACUAUUUCAAUCUACUAAUCUAUUCUAUGUAGAUUCAAAGAUAAUAUAAUAGAAAGAAUCUAAAGUGUCGUAGAAAAAACUAUAUGUAGUUCUUUCUACCACACUUUAAGAUUCCAACCAGAUCCUUUCAUUUAAGACUUGGAUUUUUUUAUUUAAUCCCUUUUUAAUUUCUUCAAUGAUUAAUUGGAAUUCCAAUUAAUUAUUUUGGCUGACUGUUUUAACAUAAAUAAUAAGUAAAAAAGAAGUAGGAACUAGAAUGAACAGUGCAGUAGCAAUAAAUGCGAGAAUAUUGACUUCCAUAACCUCUUUAUUUUUUAUUUUCACAAUAACUCGGGAUGUAAUCCCAUGGAGAGGAAAAAGGGGUAUCUUGUAAAUUCAAGGGUAGGGCUUGCCUUCUGAUAAUACUGAAUCAAUUCAAUAUUAUGAAUAUCGGAUCUAUCAAAUCAAUUCAUGGAUGAGAGUUAUAUUUCACGGAUGAGAGUUAUAUAGUAUAACAUAGGAAGAUCCUCUAUCCACACUAAGACCAAAAUGGGUUUUUUGAUUGGAUUAGGAAUUCCCUCUUUUUUAAUCCUUUCUACUUUUUCUUUUCUAUAUCUCUAACCCACGAGCUUUCUUAAUCUUCUACUUUCUUAAUCUUAUACAAUUUCCCUUCCUUUUUCUUAUAGUUAUACAUACAAUUAUGUAUGUAUUAUAUGACCAACUUUCUAUGGGUCACAUAGACAUCCAAAUAAGCAGUAGAAGUGAGAUGGGGAAAAGUGGUCUGAAAUAAAAAGGGAAUACGAUUUAUGUAUGGAUUCCGGUAAAAUACCGGUACUCUAUUCCAUAAGAGUGGAAUAGGAAAUUAAGAUGAGGAUGGUAUCAUCAUAAAGAAAGAUAGAGUAAUAUAAUAUCCUAAAUUCUACUAAUCCACAUAUCGUAUGUGUGUCUUUCUUUAUCUUUAUCGAUCGGGAGUAGUGAAAAAAAAUUCCUAUAUGCCUUCCCUCCCUCUUUAAUGAGGGAUGCAAAAUAAAAAAGUGAAGUAAGGGUGCCCUGUGGGUAUUUGAUCUUGCUCCUUGCCCCUUUUUUUCAUGGAAAAAGGAAAUAUCAAUUUCUCCAUUCAUUGAACCCUAGUUCGGGACUGACGGGGCUCGAACCCGCAGCUUCCGCCUUGACAGGGCGGUGCUCUGACCAAUUGAACUACAAUCCCCGCGGGGUGUAUGGCAUACCCAUUCCUAAAUAGAACCAUAAUAAUAUUCGAUUCGUCUUUCGUACUCUAAGAAAUAGACGAAUCAUAUACUACAUACCCACAUAUUAUAUUAUACGUGGGUAUAGUGAGAGUGACAUAACUAGUAUGUCGUGAUUUUUAUCACUAAAAAUGGAUAAUAAUCCAACCUUCAAUAAGAAAAACUCUUUUGUUUGUAAGAAAGGAAUGAGGGAGAUAUGGAUUAGAAAAAAAUUCCCUUUUUUCUUUAUCUUUUAUUUCUGUAGAUCAGACAUUUUAUUUUAUGGAAGAAAAACAAAAGGAUUUAGUUCAUACUCACGAAGCCCUAGUUUUUUGGUUUGGGCCGAGCUGGAUUUGAACCAGCGUAGACAUUGUCAACGAAUUUAUAGUCCGUCCCCAUUAACCACUAGGGCAUCGACCCAGGAAGAAUUUAUUCUAGGGUUUUUGCUAAUCUAUGAUUAACCUCCUUUCAUAAUACUCCCUACCCCCAGGGGAAGUCGAAUCCCCGCUGCCUCCUUGAAAGAGAGAUGUCCUGAACCACUAGACGAUAGGGGCAUCACUAGACGAUAGGGCCAUAUACAACCGCUCGUGAUUAUACUAUAAUCAUAGUAUGAGCAGUUUUUUGGAAUUGUCAAUAUACUCGAAAAGUAUAAAUAGAUCCAAAGCAAAGAGUUUUUCCAACUUUUCUGUUCUGUUUUCAUCUAGGAUUUUUUAGUUGAUCGUUAUAGAUUAAUUCUCCGUGCUUCAUUUAGUGUUCAGACCAAAAAUGCAUCCAUCCUGCACUAAGUCAUAAAAUUCUCUAAAAAUAUAGAGAAAGUUUGAAAAACAAAGAACAAAAGUGAAUCAAUUUAGUAGAAAAGUAGUCUAUCAGAUUCGAACCAACGACUUACGUCUUAGCACGAGAUUACUCUACCACUAAUUUAAAAAGCCCUUUAUCGGAUUUGAACCGAUGACUUAUGCCUUACCAUGGCAUUACUCUACCACUGAGUUAAAAGGGCUUUUUAUUUAAUUCAAAAAUUAGCCACUUGGAUUUCCCAUUAUGGGUCUACUGCAUAAUGUACAUAUUAUAUAUAUAAUAUAUAUAUAGAGAGAGAGACAUUAUGUAGAGAUUGUAUAUGUAUAUAUCGAUAUCUUGAGAGCUCAAAAUAAAAUUAAUAAAAAAAACAUACCCUACAUAACAUAUCCAACUCUUCUUGGUUCAGGGUUUUCCGUUUCCGAAGACUAGUAAAAUAGGCGGAUUCUGGAACCCCAAGGAUUCAACGGUAUAUGGAUAUGGAAAAUAUAAGAUUUCCGAUCCUAUCGGGAAAAGGCGGGGAACAGAUACCCAAUAGGAUAUAGGAUCCUUGGGAGGAACUUUUGGUAAUGGCCUUGAUCCUCUAUGCUAUUUUUUAUGUGUUCUUAGUUCUAUUGAACUUUUUUCAUUCUUUUAAACAAGAAUCUAAUAAACUAGAAUUGAGUCAGUGGAAAAAAGGAGAGAGAGGAAAGUGUUAAAUGGAGAGAGUCGACUAAUCAGAGACUUUUAGGAUCUUCUUUACAUCAGGUAAAUCUGUCGGCCCUGUCCGUUUUUUUCUUUAAGUUACGACUCUUUGCUGCUUACUUCUAUCAAGCCAUAGGGAAAGUCUAUGAUGAAUUUGGAAAACUCAUCUCACUCUUACUCUAUGGCUCGGACUUAAUGGGGGAAGAAAACAUCUUCCAUAAUUUCUUUUUUGUUCAAUUCUGGACAAAAAAGAAAAGGAAAAAGGAAUUUAUGGGGACAGUGUUACCCCCUAUAUCCCCUAGUUUAUAUUGUAGGAAUAAUAAAACAAUUUAGCAGUCUGACACACUUACGUCCUUGCAAAGUAAAUAAUUAUUAUUGUAGUCGUAACCGUAGAAUAGGAUCCUAAUCAAAAUAAAUACAUUUGGUUCAGGCGCUAUUAGCAUGGUAAGAAUUUUUUUUUUACAGAACAGAGGGGCUAUCUAAAUCCUAAAGUAAAGGCGAGCGAUCGAAGUAGAAGUACCAACGGCUCAGUGUCAUGAGCCUUCUCCAUCUGAUUCAAUAAGGGGGAAUUAGCCUUCUUGUCAAAUGGCUAUCCUUGACAAAGGGUACCAUUUAUACCAUAAUCUACAAUGUAGCGGGUAUAGUUUAGUGGUAAAAGUGUGAUUCGUUCUAUAAAAUAACUGAAUUUGAAAUGAUAUACUUAAGGCAUCCUUAAGUUUUUUAUUUUUAUAUCCCGAUGAAAACUUUAGUUCUUAUAAAGGAUUAAAUCCUUUUCCUCUCAAUAGCAUAUUGAUGAAGAAUAUACAUUCUGGCGAUUUGUAUCCAAAGACUAAUUUAAAUUGCAUCCAAAAUAAAAAUAGGAUUAUGAGUACAGAGUCGCGAAGCAUAAUUUUGCAUUGGAUUAAGUAUUCCAAUUUUGAAAAUAUGAGUAAAGGAUCUAUGGAUGAAGAUACAAAAAAGUUGAUUUCCAAUCGUAACUAAAUCUUCUUAAAAUAAGGAAUAAGGAAGCCAAAUAGCUAAAAAACGAUAGUUUUGGUUUACUAGAACCAUCCGCAUAUUGUUUCAGCUCGGUGGAAACCCAAUUCUUUUCCUCAGGAUCUCUUGAAUGAAAUUAGGGAACGAAGUAAGUAGAUUAGAUGGAUUUCGAUAGAAUUUCUAUCUCCUACUCUAUAAGGAUCAUCUAGAAAGCGGAGAGCUUUGGUUCCAUUCAAAUAGAAAAGCUGACAUGGAUGUUAAGUGGUGAGAAUAUCCAUAAAGGAGCCGAGUGAAAUCAAAAUUUCAUGUUCGGUUUUGAAUUAGAGACGUUAAAAAUAAUCAACCAGCGUCGACUAUAACCCCUAGCCUUCCAAGCUAACGAUGCGGGUUCGAUUCCCGCUACCCGCUCCAUUCUGUAUAAAAGGAGUAUUCUCUUUGUCUAGACAUGUUAGAGGCUUGUAUUCAAGCCUUUUUUGUCCACCAGAGCGGAGUAGAGCAGUUUGGUAGCUCACGAGGCUCAUAAACUUGAGGUCACGGGUUCGAUUCCCGUCUCCGCACUUAGCAGUCUGUAUAAAAGGACUAUUCUAUUUCUCUAGAUAUGGUAGAGGGGCGUAUCCAACCCUUUUUUAUUCAUUAGUUCCUGGCCCUAGAGGGCAAAAUUGAGCAGUUUGCGAAGUCACUUGCCUUCAAAAAAAGAAGGCGCAAGGCUUCUCCCUACCCUACAGAAAAUAAAAAUGAAACGAAAGGGACAGUCUACCUCUCUCUUCCCUUUAAAAAAAGUUUGCCCGUUGUUUGUCCCAGUUAAUACCCAAUUUUUGGAGCUCUGUUGGCGAGUUCUAUUUCUGCCUCCGGAGCGCCCUCUUUUUUUGAGUGGGAUGCAAAGGAAGGGUAAGAUAGUAAGGGAUACGGCACUAGACUAACACCUAAUUAAUACUUAAUUUAAUAUAAGUAGUUAAACAGUUAACUAGACUAAACUUUUUAUCAUAGUACUUUGAUAAAUUAAGUGGGCGAGCGGCGGGAAUCGAACCCGUAUCUUCUCCUUGGCAAGGAGAUAUUUUACCAUUGAACUACGCUCGCUACGGUAUAUAUUUUAUAGCGUAUAUCCGCCUGGGUCGACCUUCUAUGUCUGGGUCGACCGUUUCAUUUCAUUUUCUAUUAUAUUAGAGUUUUCCUUUUUUUAUUAUCUGUGAAUGAAUAUUCUAAUGGGAAUGGAAUUUCAUAAUACUGAAAGAGAAGAGCUAGCAAUUCGGAACGCAAAUUGCGUUUUAAUACGUCUCACUAUUCUAAUUUUUUAGAAGAAAUGGCCUUUAUUAUUUCUUUUUAUGGGGUUAAUAAAUAUUAACCAAAUUUAAUUUAAGAAAUGAGAGAAUUCAGAAUAGCUACGAGAAAGACUAGUCCAAUCCAUAAUGAUGUACCGGAAAAUACAACAUUUUUAUUAUUUGACCAACCAUCAGGAGAACCAAAACAAGGGGUACACUAAUUACUAAGACCGAGGAAGUCGCAAUUAAUGCAAAAACAGCUAAUUGGAAAGCAAUAGUCAUAUUUCUAAUCCUCCAAGCUACCAUCAAAUAAAGUUGACUACAUAUUUGAUCCCUCACUUAAACCAAAAUUGUAAAAAAAUACAAGAAGUAGGAGGGGUUUAAUCAUGAAUCCAUUGAUUCUUCUCUUUAAUUCAAAUUUAUUACUUAAACCGCUUUUUUAUUUGGAUAUGGGGGUGAGAAGAGAUUAUUUACUCUUUAUUUCACAAGCGGGUAUAGCGGAUCCUGUAUCCGUGUAUACAGUAUACAGAGAUAUAUCGAAAAGGAACUUGUAUCUGAUAUCUUUCUAGAGGCUAAUAAAUCUUUUUAUUUUUAAUAUGGCUUUGUUCUAUUUGUAGGAGUAAAAUAAGGAUUAGGCUGUGGAGAGAUGGCUGAGUGGUUGAUAGCUCCGGUCUUGAAAACCGGUAUAGUUCUAGGAACUAUCGAGGGUUCGAAUCCCUCUCUCUCCUUUUGCUUAUUGAAUACGUUUGUUUCUUUCAUUUUUUUCCUGUCCCUUAUCUUUCUUUCAUAAAAAGGAAUGAAUGGCUCGGCUAGAUGGAAUAACCGAGCCAGAACAGAAAAAAAGUAGAACAGGUAUAAAUAAGAAAAUCUUAGUUAAGAGGGUUCAUGUAAAGAACAGGUUCCAAAUCACGAUCGAUUCCCUUUUCAAAACCUGCAGCAGCAGCUCGGGCUCUUCCUGCAUGCCAUAAAUGGCCCACAAAAAAGAAGAAUCCUAGAACAAAAUGAGAAGUUGAUAACCAACUUCUAGGAGAGACAUAAUUAACUGCAUUGAUCUCGAUAGCUACGCCACCCACGGAAUUUAAAGAGCCUAAAGGAGCGUGGGUCAUAUAUUCUGCUGAGCGUCGUUCUUGCCAAGGUUGUAUGUCUUUUUUCAACCUACUCAAGUCCAAACCAUUGGGGCCCCUUAGAGGUUCUAACCAUGGAGCACGAAGGUCCCAAAAACGCAUAGUUUCCCCUCCAAAGAUAACCUCCCCAGUUGGGGAACGCAUUAGAUAUUUACCUAAACCUGUGGGUCCUUGAGCGGAUCCCACAUUAGCUCCAAGACGCUGGUCUCUAACUAGAAAAGUAAAUGCUUGAGCUUGAGAAGCUUCUGGCCCGGUGGGUCCAUAAAACUCACUCGGAUAAGCUGUAUUAUUGAACCAUACAAAACAACAAGCGAUAAAACCAAAGACAGAUAAAGCAGCUAAACUAUAAGACAAGUAAGCUUCUCCAGACCAUACAAAUGCACGGCGAGCCCAUGCGAAGGGUUUGGUUAAAAUAUGCCAAAUUCCGCCAAGUACACAAAUAAAACCCAACCAUACAUGCCCACCAAUUAUAUCUUCUAAAUCAUCUACACUAACAAUCCACCCUUCUCCACCAAAAGGAGAUUUUAGUAAAUAACCAAAUAUAACACUAGGGCUAAGGGUCAAAUUGGUAAUUUUUCUUACAUCUCCCCCCAGGGGCCCAGGUAUCAUAUACACCGCCAAAAUAAAGAGCCUUGAGUACUAGAAGAAAAGCACCUAGACCUAACAAAAUUAAGUGAAUACCCAAAAUUGUAGUCAUUUUAUUUCUAUCUUUCCAGACAUAACCAAAGAAUGGAAAAGAUUCCUCAAGAGUCUCGGGUCCCAGAAGCGCGUGAUAAAUGCCACCGAAGCCUAAGACUGCGGAGGAAAUUAGGUGAAGUACGCCAGAUACAAAGUACGGAAAAGUAUCUAGAACUUCCCCCUGGCCCUACUCCCCAACCUAGAGUAGCUAAGUGUGGAAGUAAAAUCAACCCUUGUCCAUACAUGGGCUUUUCUGGUACGAAAUGGGCCACUUCAAAUAGGUUCAUUGCUCCGGCCCAGAAUACGAUUAAUUCGGCAUAGGCUACAUGAGCUCCAAGCAGUUUACCGGACAAAUUGAUAAGUCUGGCAUUCCCAGCCCACCAAGGAAAGCUGGUGGUUUCUUGGUCACGACCAGCUAAAAUGAAAGUUCCAUUAAAGAGCGUUUCCACGUGGUAGAACCUCCUCAGGGAAUAUAAGAUUUUCAUGAGGCUGAUCCUGAGCUGCCAUCCACGCACGAAUACCCUCGUUUAAAAGAAUAUUUUUGGUGUAGAAAGUCUCAAAUUCAGGAUCUUCCGCUGCACGGAUUUCCUGGGAAACAAAGUCAUAGGCACGUAAGUUCAGAGCCAAGCCAACUACGCCAAUAGCACUCAUCCAUAAACCGGUGACGGGUACAAAUAGCAUAAAGAAAUGUAACCAACGUUUAUUGGAAAAAGCAACACCAAAGAUUUGGGACCAAAAGCGGUUAGCAGUGACCAUGGAAUAAGUUUCUUCAGCUUGAGUUGGGUUAAAAGCACGGAAGGUAUUUGCACCAUCACCGUCCUCAAAUAGAGUGUUUUCUACGGUCGCUCCAUGAAUAGCGCAUAGCAGAGCCGCACCUAAUACUCCGGCAACUCCCAUCAUAUGAAAUGGGUUCAACGUCCAAUUAUGAAAUCCUUGGAAGAAAAGGAUGAAUCAAAAUAUCGCUGCUACGCCAAAACUCGGCACAAAGAACCAACCAGAUUGCCCCAGUGGAUAAAUAAGGAAUACAAAAACAAAAACAGCAAUUGGACCAGAGAAUGAGAUUGCAUUAUAAGGCCGCAAUUGAACAGACCGAGCAAGUUCAAAUUGGCGUAACAUGAAACCUAUUAGUGCAAAAGCCCCGUGGAGAGCUACAAAAGUCCAUAGACCGCCUAAUUGACACCAAGGAGUAAAAUCUCCUUGUGCUUCGGGCCCCCAUAGUAGCAACAAAGAGUGUGCUAAACUAUUGGCAGGGGUAGAAACUGCUGCGGUUAAGAAAUUACAACCUUCCAAAUAGGAACUAGCCAAUCCAUGGGUAUACCAAGAAGUUACAAAAGUUGUCCCUGUAAACCAACCCCCUAAAGCGAAAUAAGCACAAGGAAAGAGCAAUAGGCUAGACCAUCCUACAAAAACGAAACGGUCCCUUCGUAACCAGUCAUCCAUAGUAUCAAAUAGAUCAUUUUCUUCUUUAGGAAUUCUACCAAGGGAUAUAGUCAUAGUGAUCCUCCUAUUCAAUUACUUCAACCAUUUCCGAGCACCUCAUAUCACUUUCCAAGGCAUAUGAUAGUUUUAUUAUCUGUGGACGAUUUCUUUGUCGUUCAAUGCCCUUUUUCAAUGGUCUCGAAGAGAGAAAUUUCCCAUUUUUAUCUAUGGAGUCACAGUCACAACCGAGGUCGUGGUAAAUCCAUGAAUUUGAUUCGAUUUGUUUUUCUUAUACUAUAGAAAUAGAAAUAAAUUGUUUUUCUUAUACUAUAGAAAGAAAUAAACCUUUGAAUUCAGCAUUAUUCCAAGACUCCUAUUUGAAAGUCUAUCUUUUAAGGGAAAAAUGAAAAUAAAAGUAACCCUUCUUUUCCCAUUCCCUCUCUAUUGCAUGGGUGGAAGAACUAAAAUAGAGGAUUAUGAAAAAAAAUGGACCUUCGAAUUCCAAUUUAUGUGUAGCGCAAAGGAGUUGCGAUUUCUUCUUAUUCCUAUAGAACAUCUAGUAACAAGAAUAUGAAAUCGUAAAUAGCGAAAAAUUCUAGUCUUGCGCGGUCUAAGUCUAAGGAAAUAAAAAAAAUUCGCUUAUACAAUUUCAUCUACAUCGAAUUUAUAUAUCAGAAUAGCGGAUAGAGGCAUUAUUAAAGGAGUCAGGUCUACUUAGUUUAUGCUUCUUUACAAUUUUAUGGUGGAUUUGAUAAGAACCCUUUUUGCUUUCUUGAUAAAUAAUCGACAAAAAAAGCGUUUUUUUAUAUAACCUGCUUGUUUUAUUAUAAUUAUAACAAGUCCUAUAUGGAAAUGCUCGCUAAAGAGAAAAUCUAUUUGAUUUCUCUCGGCCAAUAUCGAUUUUUAGAAAAAAACAAGAAUUUUCUUCUUUUUUUAUUAACAUUAAGAAAAAAGAACAUAAUUAAAAUGGAAUUGGCAAUAUCAUAGACUUUUGAAAGAAAAAAAGGGGGUUUUUUGCAACCGUUAUUUCUUAUUUCUUGCCUAUAUCAUAUCACGGAAACCUUUCGCUUUGGAACAUGGAGAGAUGCCUGAGUGGACUAAAGCGGCGGAUUGCUAAUCCGUUGUACAAUUUUUUUGUACCGAGGGUUCGAAUCCCUCUCUUUCCGCUCCCUUGGAUCAUUUGGGACUUUCGAAUUGGAAAGAAUUCUGACCCCCGGAUUUUCUCAUAGAUAAAUGUACGAAACAAAUCCAAUAAGAAAAAAAAACUGAAUUUUUACUCCUCGCGUCCCGGAUUCCGUCCUGGGUCAUUAGAUAAGAAUCCAAAGAUAAAGAGUGAAACAAAGAAUAUCACUACUGUAUAAACAAAAAGUUUGAGAGUAAGCAUUACAUAAUCUCCAAGAUUUUUUUUAAGGAAUAGAUUACCAGUUUUUCCUUACCACACGGAUCCACUAGGAUGGUUUUUUUUAUACCUAAAAAUGCAAAAAAGAAUUCUUGAAAAAAAUUGCAAGAAUUCUUUUAUAAUAAGCACUCUUAUCAAUAGCAAAAAUAGGGUUAGGUGGUUAGGUAUUGUGUAGGUACCUUUAGGUACCUGCCCAACCUAGGUGCAGGGGAGUAGAAAGGCUGAUCCAAAUUUAUUGCUGUAGCUACCCAUUCAAUGUAGAAGAAUUUAAAUUUUAGAAUCAAAGGUUCAUAAUAUAAAAAUAUAAAACUUCUCGGCUUUUACCCAUUUUAAAUUUUUUUGGAAUGAACACAUCAUUCAAUUUGGCAUACAGAGUACUAAAGAUUUCAUCGAAAACUUACAGCAGCUUGCCAAACAAAGGCUAAUAGAAAAAAGAAUAGAGGUAUAACAGGCAUAAUAUCCAUGAUUGGAUUGAAAAUAGCAUAAGCUUCGGGUAAUUUGGCAAAGAAAAAACUAGUAGGAUAAAGAACAGAAUUAAAACAGAUACAUGUUAAACUAAGUAUAUUAGGCAUAACAAGCAUUUCAUUCUUGUAGAGUAAAUAAUUGGUUUUUUCUUGAGUUAUUUUUUUAAGGGAAAGAAGGAAAAGGCAGAUUCAAAAUCUUUUUUCUUCGGACUUUCCCAAACACAAAAUACCUCCUUGUAUUUGCACUCUCAAAUGAGAGUGGAAUAAAUUCGACUUUCAUAUAAUAUCUUAAUAGAAUUCCAUGUAAUGAUCAAUGCAUUUUUUUGAUUCUAUAUUAUCCGCAUGUGUAGAAUACUAGCAAGAGAAUAUCCCUCCUUUUUUAUGUAAUUGAAAUGGUAUUGACGAAUAACAAAUAAACAUACUAGUGUUUAUUAGUGUCGCAUAAAACCCGAAAUGGGGCGUGGCCAAGUGGUAAGGCAGCGGGUUUUGGUCCCGUUACUCGGAGGUUCGAAUCCUUCCGUCCCAGAUUGUUUCUGAUGAAACAAACGGUGAAAUCAUAUAGUAUUCCGUACGAGACAAAAGUGUAUUAAAGAGAAUAAUGAUAUCUUAUUCUUUCUCAGAAAACAUAAUAAAGUCUUAAGUCCAGUCAAAUUGACUAUCUUUAUUUUCAUGAAAAAUGGGAUCUAUCAAGCACAUUCAGGAUAUGCCUCUACUAUAAAAUCACUUAGUCAUAUUUUUUUCUUCCUUUUGGUAUUCGAGUUGAAGAAGUACGAGAAUUCUUAUCUACCAAAAACUUUCACUCUUUUCAUUGGAAUAGUUUAUUUAGUUAUUAUAGUUAAUUGUUUUUUUGUACUGAAAAAUAUAUUACUACUAGAAUUCUAAUUCUAGUAAUUAAAUUAAUUAAACUUUUUUGGAGGUUGAUAGUUUAUUUAUUGAGGAAGAGUCAAUCCUUCUUUUCUCACUUCAAGAUUGAUCAUCUCGAGCCAUCCGUUGAGGGUGGAAAUUUAAGAAUAAAUAAGUUUUACGCAAACUUGUUAGUCGUCUUUUUCAAACUAUGUUUCAUUCAUAUGAUAGAAUUUUAAUAUGGGUUUAAAUAAAUUGGAUCUUGGCGGAGGCUUCCCGGAUAAAUACUUACUUUCUUUUAUCCAUAUUGCUCCAUAGAUAGCAAGUUUUAAUUAGUAUAAAAAAACUAAACCAAUGACUAUUCAUGAUUCCAUCCAUAUUGGAUCAAUUCUCUAUACCACUUUGCAAUGAAAAGAGGAAUGUUUGUUAUGGUAAAACUUCGUUUAAAACGAUGUGGUAGAAAGCAACAUGCGACUUGAAGGACAUGAUCGAUUGUGGAUUUUUCUAUCCAUCAUUUUCCAUAGUAAUGAAAAUGCUCUUGGCUCGACAUAGCCUGUUCUAUUCGUUCCGAACCAAAUUUGCGCUUGGUUUAAGUAACAUAGUACACGAUGGAGCUCGAGAGGACAGAAUUUUUUUAUCAAGGGAAAGAAUCUAGGGUUAGUGAAAACUAAUAAAUUAGGCCAACUUUGUCAGUCUAUCCUUAAUAUAGAAAUAAAUCGAAAGGUUAAAAUAAGAAUAAAGUCCAAUAAAAGUAUUUCAGAAUCAAUCCCUCUUAUUAGAUUUCUAUAGAAGAGAUAAAUGCUUUAUCGAAGGAAAUAAGAAAAAAGGGUAUGUUGCUACUCUUUUGAAAGAAAAAAAAUAGGAAUUCCCGAAGUAAUGUCUAAACCCAAGGAUUUCACAAAUCAAAGAUAUAGGAUUCCAGAACAAGUAAACACAAUUUUCAAUUGUCUCAACAACAGAGUUGGAUCAGAAUAAGGAAUAAAAGUCAAUUCGUUCGAAAUGAGAAAAAGAAAAGAGUUUAAAGACGACUCAAAUUUUUUGGAAGGAUUUUGCCUUCGAAGUUUGUCAGGCAAAAUUAGCCCACUUGAGUCAUGAGUAUAAAUGAAAUUUGUUUUUUAUGUAAGGAAAUUAAUGCACGUCAUAGUCUAAUUUCUAUUAUUAUCGACAGAAAUUCGAAUCAUUUUCUCGAGCCGUAUGAGGAGAAAACCUCCUAUCCGUUUCUAGGGGGGCGUUGUUUAUCUACAUCUAUCCCAAUAAGCUGUCUAUCGAAUCGUUGCAAUUGAUGUUCGAUCUCGAAGAGAAGGAAGAGAUCUUCAAAAAGUAGGUUUUUAUGAUCCGAUAAAGAAUCAAACUUGUUUAAAUGUUCCAGCUAUUCUCUAUUUCCUUGAAAAGGGUGCUCAACCAACAAGAACUGUUUAUGAUAUUUUAAGGAAGGCGGAAUUCUUUAAAGAAAAAGAAAGAACUUUGAGUUAAUUGAAGAACUAAAUGAAUCAAAAAGUAGGAUAGGAGAAGAUUAUUAGUAUUCCUAGUUGUCUAAUUAUUUAGACACAAUUUACCUCUUUUUUAAUCCUAUUUGGAUUUAUAUUAUAUCGUGCCAAUUCAACAUAAGCCCCUAUUUUAUUUACUUUUUCUAUCUAAUUUGUUUUCUUACCAUUGUAUUUCCAUUGACAAAGGUCUAUUGAACAAAUAGAAUUUGUAGAUAGAUGGGUCUCUUUAUCGUCACUCCAUAUUCAAUUUUUUCGCCUACACUUCGCUCAAAUGAUAAGGGUGUUCCUCUUGCAUGUAUUCUCAUACAAUAUAAUAUAUUUUUUAAAUAAAAAUCGCUAAAAAUAAGAAGAAUUUGGCCAUCCUGAUUAGGGUCGCUCUUUUUUUAACUUUACUUUAGUGGAAUUUAACCGGACCUGUUCUAUUUGGCAUUUGAGUGUUUUUCAUGGUCGAUAAAAAAAUCUAUUGAUGUCUUGCUAGUUCAAUGUUUUGACAGAAGCGCACGGUGUAAUUCCAUUGAUUUUUGGAUUUCGAUCGUAUCUAAGAUCCUUUUUUUAUCUGGGUUGCUAACUCAAUGGUAGAGUACUCAGCUUUUAAGUGCGACUAUGAUCUUUUACACAUUUGGAUGAAACAACAAAUUCGUCCAUACUCUUGGUAGAGUCUAGAAGACCACGACUGAUCCUCAAAGGUAAUGAAUGGAAAAAAUAGCAUGUCUUAAUAAAAUCAAUCUUUUUUGAAUGGAAUCCAAAAUUACGAUUUUCUGGGUCUAAUGAAUAAAUGGAUAGAGCCUGGCUCCAAUUCUGGUAAAAUAAAAAGCAACGAGCUGAACUUCCUAAUUGGAAUGAUUCCCCACUCUAAUUAGACGUUAAAAAUAGAUUAGUGCCGGAUGCGGGGAAAGGUUGGGCUUUCCUAUGAGUGGACCCUUUAUUUUUUCUUUUUUUAGAAAUCCUAAUUAUUCUUGAUUAUGUAUUGAAUAAGGGAUGUUAUGGAUUGAAUGUGUAAAAGAAGCAGUAUAUUGAUAAAGAGGCUGUAUUCCAAAGUCAAAAGAGCGAUUGGCCUGCAAAAAUAAAAAACUUGUUCUGUUCUUUUUUUAAUUAGAACAAACAUAAACUAAUUGGGUAGAAAAGGAGCAGAAAAAGAUCUGUGGAUUAGACUCCCUUUCUUUCCAGGGUUUGUAUUAAAAAUGCAACACCCUGUUUUGACCGUAUUGCACUAUGUAUCAUCAUUCGAUAAACCGAGAAAUGCUUCUUCUCUCUGAUUCAAGUAGAAAUACAAAUGGAAAAAUUCGAAGGGUAUUCAGAAAAACAUAAAUCUCGUCAACAAUACUUUGUCUACCCACUUCUCUUUCAGGAAUAUAUUUAUGCAUUUGCCCACCAUUAUGGAUUAAAUGGUUCUGAACCUGUGGAAAUAGUUGUUAGUUGUAAUAACAAGAAAUUUAGUUCACUACUUGUGAAACGUUUAAUUAUUCGAAUGUAUCAGCAGAAUUUUUUGGAUAACUCGGGAAAUCAUCCUAACCAAGAUCGAUUAUUGGAUUACAAAAAUUAUUUUUAUUCUGAGUUUUAUUCUCAGAUUCUAUCUGAAGGGUUUGCGAUCGUUGUGGAAAUCCCAUUCUCGCUACGGGAAUUAUUUUGUCUGAAAGAAAAAGAAAUACCAAAGUUUCAGAAUUUACGCUCUAUUCAUUCAAUAUUUCCCUUUUUAGAAGACAAAUUUUUGCAUUUGGAUUAUCUAUCACAUAUAGAAAUACCCUAUCCUAUCCAUUUGGAAAUCCUGGUUCAACUCCUUCAAUACCGUAUCCAAGAUGUUCCAUCUUUGCAUUUAUUGCGAUUCUUUCUCAACUAUUAUUCGAAUUGGAAUAGUUUUAUUACUUCAAUGAAAUCCAUUUUUUAUUUUCAAAAAGAAAAUAAAAGACUAUUUCGAUUCCUAUAUAACUCUUAUGUAUCAGAAUAUGAAUUUUUGUUGUUGUUUCUUCGUAAACAAUCUUCUUGCUUACCAUUAGCAUCUUCUCGAACUUUUCUGGAAUGAAUCCACUUUUCUAGGAAGAUGGAACAUUUUGGGAUAAUGUACCCUGGUUUUUCUCGGAAAACCCUAUGGUUCUUUAUGGAUCCUCUUAUGCAUUAUGUUCGAUAUCAAGGAAAGGCAAUUCUUGCAUCAAAAGGCACUUUUUUUGAAGAAGAAAUGGAAAUGCUACCUUAUCAAUUUCUGGCAAUAUUAUUUCUGUUUUUGGACUCAGCUGCGAAGAAUCCAUAUAAACCGAUUAGCAAACUCUUGCUUCGAUUUUAUGGGGUACCUUUCAAGUGUACCAAAAAUUUCUUUGUUAGUAAGGAAUCAAAUGCUGGAGAAUUCAUUUCUAAUAGAUACUCGAAUGAAAAAAUUCGAUACCAUAGUCCCCGCUACUCUCCUCAUAGGAUACUUAUCAAAAGCUCAAUUUUGUACUGGAUCGGGGCAUCCUAUUAGUAAACCCAUUUGGACAGAUUUAUCAGAUUGGGAUAUUCUUGAUCGAUUUGGUCGGAUAUGUAGAAAUCUUUUUCAUUAUCAUAGUGGAUCUUCGAAAAAAUGGACUUUGUAUCGACUAAAGUAUAUACUUCGACUUUCAUGCGCUAGAACUUUAGCUCGGAAACAUAAAAGCACGGUACGAACUUUUAUGCAACGAUUGGGUUCGGCAUUUUUAGAAGAAUUUUUUAUGGAAGAAGAGCAAGUUUUUUCUUUGAUGUUCACCAAAACAACUCUUUUUUCUUUCCGUGGAUCAAACACUGACCGUAUUUGGUAUUUGGAUAUUAUACGUAUCAAUGACCUGGUCAACCCUCUUAAUUAAUCAUUAGACGAAAUUAAGAAACAGGAAAGGGUUGAUAAAUGAUCAAGAAAAAACUUUUCUAUUUUUCAUUCUGAAAUGUUCUUUUUAUUAUAAUAAAGAGUACGUGAAUCAACUUACUAAUUAAAAAAAUUAGUAGAACUUCCUCUUUGGAAUAGAAAUUGGCUAUUUCUACAUAGGGAAAGUCGUGUGCAAUGAAAAAUGCAAGCACGAUUUGGGGAGGGAUUUUUCUCUAUUGUAACAAGGAAGAAUUAUCUACUCCAUCCGACUAGUUCCGGGUUCGAGUCCCGGGCAACCCAUAUAGAAAAGACUCAUCAAAGUUUUUAACUUUGACUCACUUCAUUUACAAAUACAAAAUUAUUGGUUUGGUUAAUUUAGUUAUAUGGAUAGCUAAUCUUUGGGCUGACUUGGUUGACAUUGGUAUAUAGUCUAUGUUAUACUGUUAAAUAACAAGCCUUCUAUUAUCUAUAUUCUAGUUAAUACGUGUGCUUGGGAGUCCUUGCAAUUUGAAUAAACCAAGAUCUUACCAUGACUGCAAUUUUAGAGAGACGCGAAAGUACAAGCCUGUGGGGUCGCUUCUGCAACUGGAUAACUAGCACUGAAAAUCGUCUUUACAUCGGAUGGUUCGGUGUUUUGAUGAUCCCUACCUUAUUGACCGCAACUUCUGUAUUAUCGCCUUCAUCGCUUCCCCUCCAGUAGAUAUUGAUGGUAUUCGUGAGCCUGUUUCUGGUUCUUUACUUUAUGGAAACAAUAUUAUCUCUGGUGCUAUUAUCCCUACUUCUGCGGCGAUCGGAUUGCACUUUUACCCAAUUUGGGAAGCUGCAUCUGUUGAUGAGUGGUUAUACAAUGGUGGUCCUUAUGAGCUAAUUGUUCUACACUUCUUACUUGGUGUAGCUUGUUAUAUGGGUCGUGAGUGGGAACUUAGUUUCCGUCUGGGUAUGCGUCCUUGGAUUGCUGUUGCAUAUUCAGCUCCUGUUGCAGCUGCUACUGCUGUUUUCUUGAUUUACCCUAUUGGUCAAGGAAGCUUUUCUGAUGGUAUGCCUUUAGGAAUCUCUGGUACUUUCAACUUUAUGAUUGUAUUCCAGGCAGAGCACAACAUCCUUAGGCAUCCAUUCCACAUGUUAGGUGUAGCUGGUGUAUUCGGCGGUUCCCUAUUCAGUGCUAUGCAUGGUUCCUUGGUAACCUCUAGUUUGAUCAGGGAAACUACUGAAAAUGAAUCUCCUAAUGAGGGUUACAAAUUUGGUCAAGAGGAAGAAACUUAUAAUAUUGUGGCUGCUCAUGGUUAUUUUGGCCAACUAAUCUUCCAAUAUGCUAGUUUCAACAACUCUCGUUCUUUACACUUCUUCUUGGCUGCUUGGCCUGUAGUAGGAAUCUGGUUCACUGCUUUAGGUAUUAGUACUAUGGCUUUCAACCUAAAUGGUUUCAAUUUCAACCAAUCUGUAGUUGAUAGUCAAGGUCGCGUUAUUAAUACUUGGGCUGAUAUCAUCAACCGUGCUAACCUUGGUAUGGAAGUAAUGCACGAACAUAAUGCUCACAACUUCCCUCUAGACUUAGCUGCUGUUGAAGUUCCAUCUAUUAAUGGAUAAGGUUUUUCUGCUAACAUAUAAGAAUUUUUGAAGAAAGAAAAGACAGAAAUACCCAAUAUCUUGUUCUAGCAAGAUAUUGGGUAUUUCUGUCUUUAUUUUGAAUCUUUUUUUCUUCUUAAUCUUUCUAUUCAGAAUUCAGUUAACGACGAGAUUUAGUAUCCUUUCUUGCAUUUUCAUAACUCGUGAAAUGCCGAGUAGGCACGAAUUCCCCCAAUUUGCGACCUACCAUAGGAUUUGUUAUGUAAAUAGGUAUAUGUUCCUUUCCAUUAUGAAUCGUGAUUGUAUGGCCAACCAUUGUGGGUAGAAUGCUAGAUGCCCGGGACCACGUUACUAUUGUUUCUUUCUCCUCCUUCAUAUUGACCUUUUCUAUCUUUGCCAAUAAAUGAUGAGCUACAAAAGGAUUCGUUUUUUUCGUGUCACAGCUGAUUACUCCUUUUUUCCUUUUUAAAGAGUGGCAUUCUAUGUCCAAUAUCUCGAUCGAAGUACGGAGGUCAGAAUAAAUAGAAUAAUGAUCAAUGGAAAAAAGCAAAAAAUCCUUUAGCUGGAUAAGGGGCGGAUGUAGCCAAGUGGAUCAAGGCAGUGGAUUGUGAAUCCACCAUGCGCGGGUUCAAUUCCCGUCGUUCGCCCAUCGCAUUAUUGCAAAUUCCAAAAAUGCAAUUUUCCAUAUUCCUAGUUACGUAUUUACUUAUGGCGACGAAGAAUAAAACUAUCGCUAUAUUUUUUCCUUUUCCUAGUUCUUCUUCCAAGCGCAGGAUAACCCCAAGGGGUUGUGGGUUUUUUUUCUACCAAUGAGAGCUUUCCCUUCACCGCCCCCAUGGGGGUGGUCCACAGGGUUCAUAACUACCCCUCUUACUACGGGGCGUUUACCUAGCCAAUACUUAGAUCCGGCUCUACCCAAACUUUUUUGGUUCACCCCAACAUUACCCACUUGUCCGACUGUUGCUAAGCAGUUUUGGGAUACUAAACGGACCUCCCCAAAUGGUAAUCUUAAAGUGGCCGAUUUACCCUCUUUUGCAAUGAGUUUCGCUACAGCACCUGCUGCUCUAGCUAAUUUCCCACCCCUUCCACGUGUGAUUUCUAUGUUAUGCAUGGCCGUGCCUAAGGGCAUAUCGGUUGAAGUAGAUUCUUCUUUUCUCUCAAAAAACCCCUUCCCAAACUGUACAAGCUUCUUCCAAAGCAUACGGCUUUCUAGAUGUAUAUGACGAUCUCUAGACAGAUGGAUCUUAUAUGAAUCAUAUGAUGAAGUACCACAUGAGUGGAUAUAUAGGUAAGGAAUCCAAAUCUGUCGAAUCGCUCAUGUUAUGAUCUUCUACAUCCUAGGUCUCUGCGUUCCGUCAUCUGGCUUAUGUUCUUCAUGUAGCAUUCAGAUCGAAUGACUCUAUGAAAUUACGUCGAUACUUCCACAUAUUAUGGGUAACGUAGGAGACAUCCCUAUUUUCCCCCGGGGGUCUUAAUUACCACCGCUUAGCUUUCAAUUUGCCUCUGACCAUCAAAUUAAAUGUGAAUAACCCGUCCUCCUCUCUUUGAAACAAGGGGCACUUCCGGUUCUGUGCGUGCUUCAAACAAUUUUGUCUUCUCCAUAUUACCAUAUCUCUAGAGCCAAUAAUUUUCUAUGAGGAACUACUGAACUCAAUCACUUGCUGCCGUUACUCAACAGUUUUCUGUUGAGGUCUAUCCCAUAGAGGUAGUCAAAUUGGAUCAGUGAUCGAUUUCUAGGUUUCGUCGUUAACCUAAUUGGUUACUUCCAAUUACGUAAAUCAAUAGUUCAAACCGCACUCAAAGGUAGGGCAUUUCCCAUUGAUAUAGGAACUUUUGUACCAGAAACAAUAGUAUCUCCAAUUAUAGCCCCUCUGGGAUGUAAAAUAUAUCUCUUCUCACCAUCCCCAUAGUGUAUGAGACAAAUGUAUGCAUUUCGAUUAGGGUCGUAUUCUAUGGUUACGAUUCUACCAGAUAUGUCUUUUUGAUUCCGUCAAAAAUCUAUUUUACGGUAUAGGCGCUUAUGACCUCCCCCUCUAUGCCUUGCGGUAAUGAUUCCUCUGGAAUUACGACCUUUACCACAACGGUGCCGUCCAUGGAUCAAAUUAUUUCGUGGAUUGGAUUUCACUUGCCUGUCUACGGUUCCCUUGUGUGUGCUCGGGAUAGGUGUUUUGUAUAAAUGUUUCGCCGUAUUAUUAAGUAUUCUCCUUUAGUUUUUUUCUCUAUCUAGAAGUGGAAUAGAAUAACCCGGUUGAAGGGUAAUGAUCAUACGUCUGUAAUGCAUUGUAUGGCCCAGAAUAGGUCCUAUUCUUCUACCAUUUCCAGGUAGUCGAUGGCUAUUCACAGCUACCACCUUAACACCAAAGAAGAGUUCGACCCAAUGCUUUAUUUCUGUCUUAGUGAAUCCCGAUUCGACAUUAAAAGUAUAUUGAUUCUAUCCCAAUAAACGAAGACUUUUUUCUGUAAAUACUGCGUAUUGGAUUCCAUCCAUAAAUCGACUUUCCCUCCUAUGCUCUGAGUUCCAGUAUCGAUAAGAAUUCGAGUUCUUAUUGUUCUUAUGUUAUGGUAUGAAUAUACCAUACCAAUUCGUUAUGUAUGGAUGAUGGAUGAGAUUCCAUGGAUAGAGAGCCAGUUCCAAUAGACUUAUGGAAUGUUCCCGUUCGUGUGCAUCCAGCAGGAAUUGAACCCGCAAAUUUACCAAUUAUGAGUUGAGCGCUUUAACCAUUCAGCCAUGGAUGCUUAUCAGGGAUCAUCGUACAUCGUAAAUAACCAAUUUUCAUAUAGAAAGACAUAUCAUAGAAAAAUGAAAUCGAAAAUAUUCCGAGAUGGCAAAUAUUCAGAGAUGACUAUGAAAACACCUCUCUGGAUCCUCGAAUUGAAAGAGAGAUUGAGCGGGAUCAAGAAUCCUAAUUCUCGCUAUUUGGAAUGGAUCCAAUUCUAUUGAGUCUGACUCAUAGUGAUCGUUUCUCUUUAGCAAAGAAUGACCUUGGUUAUCAAAGGAUUGAACAACCGGGAUCCAUUUACUUAUGAUACCUAGUUGGCAUUGAUAACAAGGAUCUAAUGAAUUAUGAGUUUAAUAGAUCCUCUUUAGCAGAAAGACGUAUAUUCCUUGCUCAUUAUCAGACAAUCACUUAUUCCCAAACCUCAUGUGGGACUAAUCAUUUUCAUUUACCAUCUCAUGGAAAACCCUUUUUGUUCCGCUUAGCCCUAUCGGGUAUUUAAGUGAUAGGUUCUGUAGGAACUGGACGAUCCUAUUUGGUCAAAUACCUAACGAAAAAUUACGAUUUUCCUUUCAUUAAGGUACGAGGGCUUCUUAUUCCACAAGAACGAAAGCACCUUUUCAUUCUUUCAUAUACUAGGGGUUUUUACUUGGAAAAGACAAUGUUCCAUACUAAAGGAUUCGGGUCCAUAACCACGAGUUCCAGUGCACUAGAUCUUGUAGCACUUAGCAACAAAGCCCUAUCCAUUAGUAUUCCACAUAAGAAAUCCAUUCUAGAAAAAACUACAAUUAGAUUAGCUCUUCAUAGACAAACUUGGGGUUUGCGAGCCAAGGUAUGAUCGGCUCGGGAUCAUGGGACCCUUUUCUAUCAGAUAGGAGGGGCUCUUGUACAAAAUAGACUUACUAAGUAAUAACCCCAUAGAAUCUAUCUAUAUAAAGAUAAAGAGGCAAUCAUGUCAGGAAGCGGGUUUUUCUUUGGCCAAAAGGUACUUCGAACUUGGAACGAGCAUGAAGAGAUUAACGAGACUUCUUUCUCUUUUGAGUUUUUCUGGCGGACCUGUCGCGCAAGAUCAUUGGUCUUCCCCUGGAACUGAUGAAAAAAAGUGGAUCGCUUCUUAUGUACUCGCUCAGAAUGAUUCUUCUCUAUCUAUAGUUCAUGGCCUAUUAGAAGUAGAAGGUGCUCUGGUGCAAUCCUUACCGACAGAAAAAGAUUGCAGUCAGGUUGAUAAUAGUCGAGUGACAUUACUUCGUCGGUCCGAACUAAGGAAUCUGUUAGAAAUGUUUUGAAAUGGAUAUUGUUCUCUCUUUGAUCAGGGAUUGCCAUAUGAAAAGAAGUGAAGUUUGAAAAAGGGAACAGAAUGCUCAAACCGGAACUGCUAGAGGAACGAAUUUUCAAUAGCAUAACUUGGGCUCCUAGAAUAUGGCGCCCUUGGGACAAUCUAUUUGAUUGCAGGGUUUUGUUCCGAAGCAAAGAUAUCCGCGGAGACCGGUUCGUUCGUCCUAUUCUAAUAUUCAGGACCAAGAGGUACUGGAUUCUCUUUCGGAUAGGCCCUGAAAGGAGAAGAAAGGCUGAAAUGCCAACGGACCUCUGUCUAUUCUCUAAUUCACCCGAUCCGAUGGUACCCGUUUUUGGAACGUCCAGUGCCAAAGUCACUGAAUGGGUAAGUCACCAAUCCAAUCCCUUUGACAAAUCGGAUGUCAUAUUAGAUAUCAUAUUCUAUAUAUAUAGAAAUAUCAUAGAUAGAAUAGACAUAUAGAAUUUUUGGUCGGCAAAUUCGAAGGAAUCAUUGAGUGAAAAAGGAGCAAAGAAUGACAAAAGACGAGACUCUACUAGUCUUCACUCUUGUGGUUUCCUCUUCCUCGAUUUCUGUUUUCUUAUUCGGGAUCUUGCUUUUCAUGGUUCUCAUCUCUGCAACUCGCGAUUUUCGCGAGAGAACCAAAUCCAAGUUGGUGAAGAUCA